rnacentral:rRNA from 1 species
UACACUUUAAAUCCUUUAACGAGGAUCUACUGGAGGGCAAGUCUGGUGCCAGCAGCCGCGGUAAUUCCAGCUCCAAUAGCGUAUAUUAAAGUUGUUGCGGUUAAAAAGCUCGUAGUUGGAGCUCGGUUUCACUCAGGUGGUACACCUUGCGGUGUUCACUAUCUGGGUGGACGUUUCUGUUGGUUCGCUCUUGGUGCUCUUCAUCGGGUGCCAUUUGGUGGCCAGCACGUUUACUUUGAAAAAAUUGGAGUGCUCAAAGCAGGCGUUACAGCCUGAACAUUAGUGCAUGGAAUAAUGGAAUAGGAUCUCGAUUCUAUUUCGUUGGCUUUCGGAGUCGAGGUAAUGAUUAAUAGGGACAGACGGGGGCAUUCGUACUGCGACGUUAGAGGUGAAAUUCUUGGAUCGUCGCAAGACGAACUACUGCGAAAGCAUUUGCCAAGAAUGUUUUCAUUAAUCAAGAACGAAAGUUAGAGGUUCGAAGGCGAUCAGAUACCGCCCUAGUUCUAACCAUAAACGAUGCCAACCGGCGAUCCGUCGUCGUUAAUUGAAUGACUCGACGGGCAGCCUCCGGGAAACCAGAGUGUUUGGGUUCCGGGGGAAGUAUGGUUGCAAAGCUGAAACUUAAAGGAAUUGACGGAUGGGCACCACCAGGAGUGGAGCCUGCGGCUUAAUUUGACCCAACACGGGAAAUCUCACCAGGCCCGGACGCCGGAAGGAUUGACAGAUUGAGAGCUCUUUCUUGAUUCGGUGGGUGGUGGUGCAUGGCCGUUCUUAGUUGGUGGAGCGAUUUGUCUGGUUAAUUCCGAUAACGAACGAGACUCUGGCCUACUAACUAGAAGGUCUAUCCUUUAUGGGUAGGCCUCUGCUUCUUAGAGGGACGGGCGGCGUUUAGCCACGAGAAUGAGCAAUAACAGGUCUGUGAUGCCCUUAGAUGUUCUGGGCUGCACGCGCGCUACACUGAAGGAAUCAGCAUGUUCUCCCCUCCCUGAAAUGGGCGGGUAACCCGUUGAAACUCCUUCGUGAUGGGGAUUGGAGAUUGUAAUUAUUCUCCAUGAACGAGGAAUUCCCAGUAGGCGCGAGUCAUCAGCUUGCGUCGAUUACGUCCCUGCCCUUUGUACACACCGCCCGUCGCUACUACCGAUCGAGUGAUUUAGUGAGGACUUCGGACUGGUCUUCAAGUUGGCUUCGGUCGGCUCGAAGUUCCGGAAAGAUGCCCAAACUUGAUCACUUAGA